rnacentral:tRNA from 1 species
GCGCUCGUAGCUCAGUGCUAGAGCACCGCGUGCAUCUUGGUGUUCGCGGAGGUCGUGCGGUUCAACUCCCACCGAGCGCGCCU